GAUACUUAAAUGCUUAAGCAACGAAGGUUAUAACAAUGAUGCACAUGCGCUUUGUGUAAUGCUUAAAUAUGCAUACCAGCAUUUUAGAGAGUUCAGAAGCAAGUUUAAGAGCAUGGUUUUGGAUGGCUUUAAGAACAAGCACUUUCGAACUUUGGAUGUAAAAGAUCUGUGCCAGAAACUGUUCAAACGUUAUUCUUCUGGCCAGAGUACCUGUAGUGUAGAUAGACUACACACAACUUUGAUAGUGAGGAGGUUUAUGUACGUGAGGGAGAGAGAAGGUAGGAAGAGAGAGAACGCUAGUUUCUGGCCAGAAUUGAAAAAGUUUUGGAAGUCAGUGAGUAAAAUCAAAUACUUUGAAUCAUUUUUAGCUCACCUGUCACAUAGUGACAAGGUGAGCUUUUGUGAUCACCCUUCGUCCGUCGUCAGUCCGUGCGUCCGUCCGUCAACAAUUUCUUGUCUGCAUGAUAAUGGUUUCAUUUAUGAUUUUAUUUUAACCAAACUUGCACACAACUUGUAUCACCAUAAGAUCUCGGUUCCUUUGUUGAACUGGCCAGAUCCCAUUAUGGGUUCCAGAGUUAUGGCCCCUGAAAGGGCCAAAAUUAGCUAUUUUGAGCUUGUCUGCACAAUAGCAGCUUUAUUUAUGAUUUGAUUUUUACCAAACGUGCACACAACUUGUAUCUCCAUAAGAUCUUGGUUCCUUUCUGGAACUGGCCAGAUUCCAUUAUGGGUUCCAGAGUUAUGGCCCCUAAAAGUCCCAAAAAUUAGCUAUUUUGACCUUGUCUGCACAAUAGCAGCUUUAUUUAUGAUUUGAUUUUUACCAAACUUGCACACAACUUGUAUCACCAUAAUAUCUUGGUUCCUUUCUGGAACUGGCAAGAUUCCUUUAUGGUUCCAGAGUUAUGGCCCCUGAAAGGGCCAGAAUUGGCUAUUUUGACCUUGUCUGCACAAUAGCAGCUUCAUUUAUGAUUUGAUUUUAACCAAACUUGCACACAACUUGUAUCACCAUAAGAUCUAGAUCCUUUUUUAUACGCCCGCAGGGACGUAUUAUG